GAUCCUGGCUCAGAACGAACGCUGGCGGCAGGCCUAACACAUGCAAGUCGAACGACACAGUGGCAGACGGGUGAGUAACGCGUGGGAACGUGCCCUUCAGUACGGAAUAGCUUCUGGAAACGGAAGGUAAUACCGUAUACGCCCUCCGGGGGAAAGAUUUAUCGCUGAAGGAUCGGCCCGCGUUAGAUUAGCUUGUUGGUGAGGUAAUGGCUCACCAAGGCGACGAUCUAUAGCUGGUCUGAGAGGAUGAUCAGCCACACUGGGACUGAGACACGGCCCAGACUCCUACGGGAGGCAGCAGUGGGGAAUCUUGCACAAUGGGCGAAAGCCUGAUGCAGCCAUGCCGCGUGAAUGAUGAAGGCCCUAGGGUUGUAAAAUUCUUUCAUCAGGGACGAUAAUGACGGUACCUGAAGAAGAAGCCCCGGCUAACUUCGUGCCAGCAGCCGCGGUAAUACGAAGGGGGCUAGCGUUGUUCGGAAUUACUGGGCGUAAAGCGCGCGUAGGCGGACUAUUAAGCCAGAUGUGAAAUCCCGGGGCUCAACCUCGGAACUGCAUUUGGAACUGGUAGUCUAGAGGCCAGGAGAGGUUAGUGGAAUGCCGAGUGUAGAGGUGAAAUUCGUAGAUAUUCGGUGGAACACCAGUGGCGAAGGCGACUGACUGGACUGGUACUGACGCUGAGGUGCGAAAGUGUGGGGAGCAAACAGGAUUAGAUACCCUGGUAGUCCACACCGUAAACGAUGAGUGCUAGUUGUCGGCAGGCAUGCCUGUCGGUGACGCAGCUAACGCAUUAAGCACUCCGCCUGGGGAGUACGGCCGCAAGGUUANAACUCAAAGAAAUUGACGGGGGCCCGCACAAGCGGUGGAGCCUGUGGUUUAAUUCGAAGCAACGCGCAGAACCUUACCUACCCUU
rnacentral:rRNA from 1 species